UAACUAGAGCCAGCAAGAAUUACGACUUAUCCUGGUAUAGUGAAAGCGGAGCCAGAUAGAAAAACGCGGCUUUGGAAAAUCCCAAUCUUGUUUCUAAUCAAUUAUUUACACCAUCUCUUAACAUCGGUAGUGAUUCAGCCCUCCCAACCGCAACAACAGCAGCAAACAACCAUUAUUCCAGCGCCUUUAGUCAACAUUUCACAGCUGUAGGAGAAAUUCAAGAUGUUCCAUCAUCCGACCGGUCGGUAGCAAUAACGUUAAAACAACGAUUCUGCCACAAGGUUUGACGCUACAGCUACUUUACAUAUACAAUACAGUUCGGGAGCACCGCAAGCAGGAGGCAUCACUAUUGAAUUGACAGUAAUUCAGUUCACUACGGCGUUGUGGCUGUAGCACCGGGUUGUUCUCUGAGACAUACCAACACACCGAUUUCCUUCGAUCGUUUUUGAAGCAUGCACGAUGAAAAUUCAAACGGUCGCAGAUCAAACGCAUUCACCCUAGUAAAUGGACAUACUGAGGGAUGUCAACAACCUGCGGGUAAUGGGGAUCAUCACAAUGGCCGAUAUAGCGAUCUUUCGUCCCUCAAAGUUUUCAACAAGCUAAUUUCACGAGAAAAAGUAUUCUUCCUACCGGAAGAAAGAGAACACGGAAACAAUAAUUGUAACACUUAUGUGCCAGUGGCAGCAGUUCCGGUAACACAGAGUUCCACACCAAAAUCGGUUGUUUCCCAUCCAAUCAUGACGGAUGUUCCCAGAGCGCAAAAUUACCUGGAUCAGGGAUAGAUAUCAAUAGAGGAAAAACUCAAUGAAGUUUCACAAAAGAAACCAUCUUUUGUGCCGUCCGGCCACUUUGGUAAGAAAUCUUGUGUUUUCUUUUUCUUGAUUCUUACGGCAUUUUUUUUCUUCAUUCUUGUGAGACAACAUUGAAAAUCGCCUAGAUUCAGUGGGAAGAGAUUCGUCUUAUUCGAUAGUUUCUCGGCUCGAUGAAAAAAAUAAAUGGAAACAAAUGAUGCGCGAUAUUCUUCAGAAGAUGUAAUUCUACAAAUUGAUCCUCGUCAACCAAAGGACCUCGAUUGCGAUUCAUCGAGCGGGAAAGUACCUGUUCGUCUCGGCAGUUUACCAAAUCGAAAGCAGUUAUUGCCACUGCGCGGACGGUAGAAAAGUUUUGCGUGCAUUAAGGCAAUCCUUCCUCUCAUGAUGUUCCUAAAACUAAAUUUUUGCGCAACUAUCCUGGGCAUUACAUUAUGCUGUGUCAUAAUAAACGGGUGUAACGAUUAAACAAUGAAUAAAUAAAACUUUUUUCGACUCUUUCAAACACUAUUUAUUCUUAAUCAUAUGAUCCCUAAUAUGAUCCAUAUCAACACAGAACUGGAGUUUAUGUUG